rnacentral:antisense_RNA from 1 species
CUUCACCGAACCCAGCCACAACGGCCGCUCGCGGCCCUGGCCGUAGGUCGCCAGCAAUGCCGUCGCCUC